CCUACGGGAGGCAGCAGUGGGGGAUAUUGCACAAUGGGGGAAACCCUGAUGCAGCGACGCCGCGUGGGCGAAGAAGUAUUUCGGUAUGUAAAGCCCUAUCAGCAGGGAAGAAGAAAUGACGGUACCUGAGUAAGAAGCACCGGCUAAAUACGUGCCAGCAGCCGCGGUAAUACGUAUGGUGCAAGCGUUAUCCGGAUUUACUGGGUGUAAAGGGAGCGCAGGCGGCACGGCAAGCCUGAUGUGAAAGCCCGGGGCCCAACCGCGGGACUGCAUUGGGAACUACCGGGCUGGAGUGCCGGAGAGGUAGGCGGAAUUCCUAGUGUAGCGGUGAAAUGCGUAGAUAUUAGGAGGAACACUAGUGGCGAAGGCGGCCUACUGGACGGUGACUGACGCUGAGGCUCGAAAGCGUGGGGAGCAAACAGGAUUAGAUACCCUUGUAGUC
rnacentral:rRNA from 1 species